rnacentral:rRNA from 1 species
GAGUUUGAUUAUGGCUCAGGAUGAACGCUAGCUACAGGCUUAACACAUGCAAGUCGAGGGGCAUCAUGGUAUUAGCUUGCUAAUACUGAUGGCGACCGGCGCACGGGUGAGUAACACGUAUCCAACCUGGCUUUCACUCAGGGAUAGCCCAUCGAAAGAUGGAUUAAUACUUGAUGGUAUAUACAUUUCGCAUGUUUUGUAUAUUAAAGAUUUAUCGGUGAUAGAUGGGGAUGCGUACCAUUAGUUUGUUGGGGGGGUAACGGCCCACCAAGACUUCGAUGGUUAGGGGUUCUGAGAGGAAGGUCCCCCACAUUGGAACUGAGACACGGUCCAAACUCCUACGGGAGGCAGCAGUGAGGAAUAUUGGUCAAUGGACGUAAGUCUGAACCAGCCAAGUAGCGUGAAGGAUGACUGCCCUCUGGGUUGUAAACUUCUUUUAUAUGUGAAUAAAUUUUCCUACGUGUAGGUUU